rnacentral:rRNA from 1 species
AUUGAACGCUGGCGGCGUGCUUAACACAUGCAAGUCGAUCGGUAACGCGGGGGCAACCCUGGCGACGAGAGGCGGACGGGUGAGGAACGCUUGGGAAUCUGCCCUUCAGCGGGGGACAACACGGGGAAACUCGUGCUAAUACCGCAUACGCUCCACGGAGGAAAGCCGGGGACCGCAAGGCCUGGCACUGAAGGAUGGGCCCAAGUCGGAUUAGCUAGUUGGCGGGGUAACGGCCCACCAAGGCGACGAUCCGUAGCUGGCCUGAGAGGACGAUCAGCCACACUGGGACUGAGACACGGCACAGACUCCUACGGGAGGCAGCAGUGGGGAAUAUUGGACAAUGGGGGAAACCCUGAUCCAGCGACGCCGCGUGGGUGAAGAAGGCCUGCGGGUUGUAAAGCCCUUUCGGUAGGGACGAAAGCUCUCGACCUAACACGUCGGGAGGUUGACUUAACCUACAGAAGAAGCACCGGCUAACUCUGUGCCAGCCGCCGCCGUAACAC